AGGAUAAUAGUUAAAUUAACAUUUAAGUUGCAUUUAAAAAAUACUGUAAUCAGUUUAUCUUA
rnacentral:tRNA from 1 species